GUUUCAGUCAACAAUACAGCUCAUGUUUGACAAUAUUCCUUGAUGACAGCACAGCCAACCAGCCUUAUCUUACAAUGACAAUAAUAUCAGAUGCAGAUAGAUCUUUGAGCAUAUUUGAUGAACGGUUAUACUCAUUUACGGUUUCCACCGUGCACAUUACCCAGACAAGAAAUGGAGGUGGGAGUUUCAGUAACCAUUCCUCCUCCAUUCCAUCGACUCCCAGCACCAGCCAGGAGGACCUUCAGAUCAGUGUUCCUCCCACUGCCAACACACCCACGCCCGUUUGCAAGCAGUCCAAGCGCUGGUCCAACCUGUUUACAUCUGAGAAAGGGAGUGACCCAGACAAAGAGAAGAAAGCCCCAGAGAGUCAUUCUGACACCAUCGGGAGCGGCAGAGCCAUCCCCAUUAAACAGGGCAUGCUCUUAAAGCGAAGUGGGAAAUGGCUGAAGACAUGGAAAAAGAAAUAUGUCACCCUGUGUUCCAAUGGCAUGCUCACCUAUUAUUCAAGCUUAGGUGAUUAUAUGAAGAAUAUUCAUAAAAAAGAGAUUGACCUUUGGACAUCUACCAUCAAAGUCCCAGGAAAGUGGCCACCCCUGGCCACAUCGGCCUGCGCGCCCAUCUCCAGCUCUAAAAGCAAUGGCCUAUUCAACAACAUGAACAGUCUACGUAUCUCAGCCAAUUCAGACACCGAGCUGGGUGACUCCAUAUGCUUCAGCCCCAGUAUCUCCAGCACCACCAGCCCCAAGCUCAACCUGCCCCCCUCUCCUCAUGCCAGUAAAAAGAAACACCUAAAGAAGAAAAGUACCAACAACUUGAAAGACGAUGACCUGUCCAGCACUGCUGAGGAACAAGGAGAAAACUUUAUCAUUGUGUCCGUCACUGGCCAAACAUGGCACUUUGAAGCCAUGACAUAUGAGGAGCGGGAUGCCUGGGUCCAAGCCAUCGAGAGCCAGAUCCUGGCCAGCCUGCGGUCAUGCGAGAGCAGUAAAAGCAAGUGCCGGCUGACCAGCCAGAGCGAGGCCAUGGCCCUGCAGUCGAUCCAAAACAUGCGUGGGAACUUCCACUGUGUGGACUGUGAGACCCAGAAUCCUAAGUGGGCCAGUUUGAACUUGGGAGUCCUCAUGUGUAUUGAAUGCUCAGGAAUCCACCGCAGUCUUGGCACCCGCCUUUCCCGAGUGCGAUCUCUGGACCUGGAUGACUGGCCAGUUGAGCUCAUGAAGGUUAUGUUAUCUAUUGGCAAUGACCUAGCCAACAGCAUCUGGGAAGGGAGCAGCCAGGGGCGGACGAAACCCUCAGUAGAGUCCACAAGGGAAGAGAAGGAACGGUGGAUCCAUUCCAAAUAUGAGCAGAAGCUCUUUCUGGCCCCACUACCCUGCACGGAGCUGUCCCUGGGCCAGCACCUGCUGCGGGCCACCACUGAUGAGGACCUGCGGACAGUCAUCCUGCUGCUGGCACAUGGCUCCCGGGAAGAGGUGAAUGAGACCUGUGGGGAGGGAGACGGCUGCACGGCGCUGCAUCUGGCCUGCCGCAAGGGGAAUGUGGUCCUGGCGCAGCUCCUGAUCUGGUACGGGGUGGACAUCAUGGCCCGAGAUGCCCACGGGAACACAGCGCUGGCCUAUGCCCGGCAGGCCUCCAGCCAGGAGUGCAUCGACGUGCUUCUGCAGUACGGCUGCCCCGACGGGUGUGUGUAGUAUCUGUUUAAUUUGACUGCAGUCUCCUUGGUGCAAAAACAAAAUGGGGAAAAUAAAGAUAACUCAGAAUUUCAAAAGGAAAUCACAAAUUCAGCUAAUAAUAGCAUUUUCAGUACUUUUUGUAAACUAAGUAAAUACACAAAAUGUUGACUUUUCUGACCAUAAGACAUAUUUUAUGUCCUUUUGCCGAGGUGGAUGUGUUAGUCUCAGGCCCUCCUGGGC
rnacentral:sRNA from 1 species